GGGGGGUGCAAGCGUUGUUCGGAAUUAUUGGGCGUAAAGAGCGUGUAGGCGGUUUGUUAAGUCUGAUGUGAAAGCCCUGGGCUCAACCCAGGAAGUGCAUUGGAAACUGGCAGACUUGAAUACGGGAGAGGGCAGUGGAAUUCCUAGUGUAGGAGUGAAAUCCGUAGAUAUUAGGAGGAACACCGGUGGCGAAGGCGGCUGCCUGGACCGAUAUUGACGCUGAGACGCGAAAGCGUGGGUAGCAAACAGGAUUAGAUACCCUGGUAGUCCACGCCGUAAACGAUGAGAACUAGGUGUUGCGGGUAUUGACCCCUGCAGUGCCGCAGCUAACGCAUUAAGUUCUCCGCCUGGGAAGUACGGUCACAAGACUA
rnacentral:rRNA from 1 species